AUUUCAAUCGGAGAAAACAGAAGGAACAAAUGUUCAGAACCAUAAAGAGGCUGAUGCCAAUGGAGCUGUAAAUAUUUUGUCUUUUCAGGAAUACAGAAUUUAAUAAAUAAGUAUGGAAAGAUUAGUAAAGGCCAGAUAACCAAAUCCCUUAUCUCGAAAGGGUAUCUGACUUGAUAAUACACUGAAGGGUUUUAAUUAAGAUAAUGACAGGACAAGACUUAUAUUGUAGAAAAUUCCUCCUGGUGGCAGAGUAGAAAGUGAAUUUGGAGGCAAAAUGACCCUGGACACAAGCAGAGUCCCUGGGAAGCCAUUACAUUUGUUAAGAGGUAGUGAAAGUUGCAACCAAGGUGUCGGGGAUUGAACAAUCUCCCUGAGAAGAUAAGUUCAACUCCUAACUAGUGUGUGUGAAUACAACCUUAUUUGGAAACAGGGUCUUUGCGAUGUCAUCCAGUUAAGAUGAGGUCAUAACUAACAAUGGUGUGCUCCAACCCAAUGGCUAGAGUCCUUAGAAGAAGAGGAAAGUUUGGACACAAAGACAUACAGAGGGAGAAGGUCAUGUGACAAUGGUGGUAGAGACUGGAGUGCUGUGUUUGCAGGCUAAAGAAUACCUGGAAUAACGACCAGCACCUACCAGAAGCCAUGAAGAGAGAAGGAAGAGCCUUCCGAGAGGGCAGGGCGCUGGCCACAUCUUAGCUUCAGACUUCUGGCCUUUAGAACAGCCGAAAAGAAGAGGCCGACUGGAGGGUCCUCAAUGGCCACAGGAGAGGGAGCCCAUCUCAGGCAGAAUGUACAGCCUGAGACACCUGCCGAGUACACUGGAGAGAAAAAUGCUCUGUGUACCAGGUGUCACCUCUGCAUUCAGCUUCACUGAUCAAGAAAAUGAAUUCGAUCCUGGAUCUCUGUCCUUCCGAUAGCAGCUUUCUGGGAGAAGUCGUCAAUAUGGUAAAUUAUCUUCCCAGCUGUUAAUACUGUGUACCCAUCUUGUUUCCCUUCUUUUAUUUCAGCUGAGCACCAAUUUGUGCCAUGAUAUUUACAUGAAUAUCUUCAUUUCAUCAGUACCAUUGUCCAUCUGUUUGGCUGAGGGCUGAAUUACCAAGCUGUGGCCAGGAAUGGAGGCAUUAGCCAGUCUAAAUGCUAACUUCUCCCCGAAAAGAAGGGCAGUCCCAUUUUCAGUUUUCCUGCCUCUGCUUACCACUGAAAUGCAGCCUAGCAGACGUGGAGCAGAGAAUUAGAAAAACCAUCCUUUAGCAGAAAGUUAGAAAAUGUUGAGGUGCUGGGCACGGUGGCUCACGCCUAUAAUCUCAGCACUUUGGGAGGCCAAGGCGGGUGGGUCACCAGAAGUCAGGAGUUUGAGACCAGCCUGGCCAAUGUGAUAAAACCUCAUCUCUACUAAAAAUACAAAAAUUAGGCAUGGUGGCAAGCACCUGUAAUCCUAGCUACUCAGGAGGCUGAGGCAGGAGAAUCACUUGAGCUUGGGAGGCAGAAGUUGUAGUAAGCCAAGAUCACACCACUGCACUCCAGCCUGGGAAACAGAGUAAGACUUCAUCUCAGAAGAAAAGAAAGAAAGAAAGAAGAUGAUGAGGUAUUUGUCUUCUUGAAGACAGUGGCUAUGCCAUGAAAGCUGAGUGCAGAACAUGAAAUAAACAUUCUGGCCACUUUAGCUGAGCCCCUGCUCUGCAACCCCAGAUCUAACAAACACACAUUAUUCAUUCAUUUAAACAUAGUUAACGUGGACUUACUACAAGUCAGACAUAGUAGACUAUGAAUGCAAAAUAGUCUCUGAAUUCACAAACUCUUUCAUUCCAUGAGGUCAACAGAUACGUCUUGUACAUCUACUGUAUGCCAAGCGCUGUGCUAAGCCCUGGGGAUGAAGCACUGAUUAAACCAAGGACAUGCUCUGAAGGACUCAGAAGGUGAUGUUUGACAACCACAUUUGGAAAGACAGUUUUCCAUGCAGAAAAAGAAUGGCUCUCGCAAAAGCUCCAAGACAGAAAUGAAUUUGACACAUUCAAGGCAUAGAGAAAAGGUAGAGUGGUGUGAGUGAGUGAGCAGCGAGAGGGGAGGUGGAAGUUGUGGACAGAGUCUAAGAGACUGGGGUGGCCAUGGCAUGGCCUCGGAUCUUAUUCUUCAUGUGAUGAGAAGACAUUGAAGAGCUUUAAGAGAAGUGCUGCCGUUGCGUGAAUUACCUUUUAAAAGGAUCAUCUAGUCAACCCCUCUUGUGGAGAAUGGGCUGCAGAGGAACAAGUCUGGAGGGAAACCAGUUAGAACUAUUUCAUUUGUCAAGGUGAGAAAUAAGGUAGCU
rnacentral:lncRNA from 1 species